rnacentral:rRNA from 1 species
CACGUAGGGACCAAGCGUUGUCCGGAUUCAUUGGGCGUAAAGGAGCUCGUGAGCGGUUUGUCGCGUCUUCCGUGAAAACUGGGGGCUUAAACUUCCAGCUUGCGGUGGAUACGGGCUGACUGGAGUGCGGCAGGGGAGACUGGAAUUCCUGGUGUAGCGGUGAAAUGCGCAGAUAUCAGGAGGAACACCGGUGGCGAAGGCGGCAUCCUGGACCGGCAUUGACGCUGAGGCGCGAAAGCCAGGGAGCAAACGGG